rnacentral:hammerhead_ribozyme from 1 species
UCGCGAAACCGCCCUGCGGGGCGGUCGUCCGGCAGCGGUGUGCCGGGCCUGAUGAGCAGCCAAAG